rnacentral:rRNA from 1 species
UACGGGGGGAGCAAGCGUUGUUCGGAUUUACUGGGCGUAAAGGGCGCGUAGGCGGUCAGCACAAGUCAGUUGUGAAAUCUCCGGGCUUAACUCGGAAAGGUCAACUGAUACUGUGCGACUAGAGUGCGGAAGGGGCAACUGGAAUUCUCGGUGUAGCGGUGAAAUGCGUAGAUAUCAGGAAGAACACCAACGGCGAAGGCAGCUCGCUGGGACGGUACUGACGCUGAGACGCGAAAGCGUGGGGAGCGAACAGG